ACAUAGUUCUACCUUCCCCACUCACUCCUAAGGCUUAUGACAUAGUUCUACCUUCCCCACUCACUCCUAAGAGUUAUGACAUAGUUCUACCUUCCCCACUCACUCCUAAGGGUUAUGACAUAGUUCUACCUUCCUCACUCACUCCUAAGGGUUAUGACAUAGUUCUACCUUCCUCACUCACUCCUAAGGGUUAUGACAUAGUUCUACCUUCCUCACUCACUCCUAAGAGUUAUGACAUAGUUCUACCUUUCCCACUCACUUCUAAGAGUUAUGACAUAGUUCUACCUUCCCCACUCACUCCUAAGUUAUGACAUAGUUCUACCUUCCCCACUCACUCCUAAGGCUUAUGACAUAGUUCUACCUUCCUCACUCACUCCUAAGGGUUAUGACAUAGUUCUACCUUUCUCACUCACUCCUAAGGGUUAUGACAUAGUUCUACCUUCCCCACUCACUCCUAAGAGUUAUGACAUAGUUCUACCUUUCUCACUCACUCCUAAGAGUUAUGACAUAGUUCUACCUUCCCCACUCACUCCUAAGAGUUAUGACAUAGUUCUACCUUUCUCACUCACUCCUAAGAGUUAUGACAUAGUUCUACCUUCCCCACUCACUCCUAAGGGUUAUGACAUAGUUCUACCUUUCUCACUCACUCCUAAGAGUUAUGACAUAGUUCUACCUUCCCCACUCACUACUAAGAGUUAUGACAUAGUUCUACCUUUCUCACUCACUCCUAAGAGUUAUGACAUAGUUCUACCUUUCCCACUCACUUCUAAGAGUUAUGACAUAGUUCUACCUUCCCCACUCACUCCUAAGUUAUGACAUAGUUCUACCUUUCUCACUCACUCCUAAGAGUUAUGACAUAGUUCUACCUUCCCCACUCACUCCUAAGAGUUAUGACAUAGUUCUACCUUCCCCACUCACUCCUAAGAGUUAUGACAUAGUUCUACCUUUCCCACUCACUCCUAAGAGUUAUGACAUAGUUCUACCUUUCCCACUCACUCCUAAGAGUUAUGACAUAGUUCUACCUUUCUCACUCACUCCUAAGGGUUAUGACAUAGUUCUACCUUUCCCACUCACUCCUAAGUUAUGACAUAGUUCUACCUUUCCCACUCACUUCUAAGAGUUAUGACAUAGUUCUACCUUCCCCACUCACUCCUAAGAGUUAUGACAUAGUUCUACCUUCCCCACUCACUCCUAAGGCUUAUGACGUAGUUCUACCUUUCUCACUCACUCCUAAGAGUUAUGACAUAGUUCUACCUUCCCCACUCACUCCUAAGAGUUAUGACAUAGUUCUACCUUCCCCACUCACUCCUAAGAGUUAUGACAUAGUUCUACCUUUCCCACUCACUCCGAAGAGUUAAGACAUAGUUCUACCUUCCCCACUCACUCCUAAGGCUUAUGACAUAGUUCUACCUUUCUCACUCACUCCUAAGAGUUAUGACAUAGUUCUACCUUCCCCACUCACUCCUAAGAGUUAUGACAUAGUUCUACCUUCCCCACUCACUCCUAAGGCUUAUGACAUAGUUCUACCUUUCUCACUCACUCCUAAGAGUUAUGACAUAGUUCUACCUUCCCCACUCACUCCUAAGAGUUAUGACAUAGUUCUACCUUUCCCACUCACUCCUAAGAGUUAUGACAUAGUUCUACCUUCCUUAUUGACUCCUAAGAGUUACACUUUACUAAUGUCUCACCCACCAUUCAAUAAAUAGAAUAGAAAGUCACAGAAUUCCAGAGCUAGAAAGGACACUCAAGGUUAUCCAGGCCAGAUGCCUGAUGGAAAGGUUUCAGUGCGUUGCCUGUGGCGAUGAGUCCCAUCAGUGGGAGGCCUGAUGGCACACUCUUUACAGUUUCCUCUGUGACAGGCAGGCACACCUGUCUGCAGAACCCGUAGCCUCUUUCCCAUCCUCCCAUCUGGACUGUGGACUCUCUUGACUAUCCCCUCUCCACCUUCCUGAGGCCCAGGGGGAAGAAAGGGGGCAACCCCAAGCCAAAGAGGGUAAGCAGAAGGUCUCCUUUCUUACCACGAGGCUAGGAGUAGGGGACAUGACAGCACGCCCUGCCCAGUCAGUCUGCCCGAAAGAGAGGCUGUGGCUCUUCCCUCCCCUGCCAGCCUGCCUUACUGGGUCAGGUGGGUUCUGCUGAAUCCUCACCUAGAGGGGCCAACAGCUUUCAUGUCAUCAAGGUUGGCCUGGCAUUUACGGCCAGGCUGGUCACGGAUCUCCAGGGUGGGAAGGUGUGGAUGGAUGAGGCUGGGAUGCCCGCUUCACCCAGUAGCUUUACUCCACAUCAGUCAACACCAAUAUUUCCGACAUUACUAAACCCUAGAUCUAGACCAAGCUGUGUGCCAUCAUCAGCUGGAUGUGGUCGGUCUGCAGACCUUGAGCAUUUCUGCGGGAUGUGGUCAAUGAGGUCUCACCACCUGCUGCAAUCACCUGGGUCAAGCUUCUCGGUCGGGGUGGACUCCAGAUUCACACAGAGCUGCAGGGCCCUCCAAGUCUAGCCCACCUGACCUCGUGACAGCUCCGACUGGCCCCUCUGCCCCCAAAUCUGGCCCACAGGCAUCUGGCAUCAGCUCCCACCCUCUCAUCAGGCCUUUGCUUAAAUAUCACCUUGUCAAGGAGAUCUCAGAUUUGCUAUUUCAAGCAGCAGAGAGAGUGAGGGAGGGAUGGAGGGGGAACAUAAGCUCUACCCACCCAUUUGGACCUAAGUGCUCUGCACACGCUCACCUUCCUCUUGGGAGCACCCUCACCAUGGCUCAUGU
rnacentral:lncRNA from 1 species